UUUCUCCACAUUAGUACUUGGUAUUAAUCUUGCUUAUGAUUUCAUUACCAUUCUUAUUGACCAUGUUGUUUCGGAUCUGUUCUUUCUUUUUUUUUUUUGGUGAAGUUUCCAUGUUUGAUAUCAAUGUCCAACACAUUUUCAGACUAUGGGUAUUUAGGGUUGAAGGUUGAGGAAAAGCUAGCCAUUGGAUUUGGAUGCUUCAUGUUUCAAAGCAAAAGUGAUAUUAACACCCAAAAUUUCUGCUCCAAAGUUUUGUUCAUGAUUUUAUAUAUGCUGUUUUUUUAUGGUGCACAA